rnacentral:lncRNA from 1 species
AUGAUCUCUAAUAAUCUCUUUCAACAAAGAAUUGGAAAGUUACUCAGACCUUUUAAUUCGUAUAAAGUUUAAAUUUUGCUUCCUCUGCUACUUUUUAUGUUUAAAUAUAGUGUUUUCUAAAAUUAUCUAUCAUAAUUGGGUCUUAUAUUUCUGUGAAAUAUAGUUUUUUAGCGAUAUUCCCAAGCAUCGGCUAGAAACUUGUGACCAAGUAUUUUGUAAAAUAAAAAUGGUAAUGUGCUUUACCCCGGACUGUAAACAAUAUAGUGAAAAUGGUAGAUGUAGAUACUUUGUGUUUCCAAAGGAUCCGGCUGAAAAGAAAAGGUGGAUUUUAUUACUAAGAAAGAAUCUGUCCAUUCUUUGGUUUGCUCUUGCCAAUGUCAAUUCUGACCGAGAAAUUUUUGAGCAUAACAAAUCCAAACAGUUUCUUGAGGUACAACAUAACAUCUAAACGAAAAAGAGCAAAAAAUCAAGUUCAAAAUGGGACACAGUUAGUACUUUCCAGAAGCUUUUACCAGGACCCAGUACUUCUUGUGAAGAAUCAACCCUUAUCAAUAAAGGAAAGAAAGCAAAAAAUCAAAUUCAAAACGUGGACAGUCAGCAGUUUCCAGUAGCCUUUACCAGGACCCAGUACCUCUUGUGGGUCAACUCUUGUGGAACUCAGUACCUCUCAUGGAUCAACCCUUACAUAUAAAGGAAAAACAGCAAAGAUGUUCAGAACCCAGUACCUCUCCACCUGCAUGUGCAGUAAGAAGGAAAAAAGAAAAUAAACGCAGCGCUGCCAAUGAAGCUUCUCCAUUUCCUUCGGUUGCAAUGUAGGAAGCAGAAAAUUACUUUAAAAAAAAAAGAACAUCAGGAAGCACUGGAUAGUGCAAAGAGGUUGUCUGCGUCUUUUUCACUUAGGUAUAUUGAAGGUAGCGAUGAAAAAAUUUUGCUCUAUACUGGUUUACCAUGUAGAGAUGUAUUUAUGUGUUUAUAUGAGUUAAUGGACUCAUUUCAAUUAAAUGAUUAUCAAUAUUGGGCUGUUGUAAAUGUACCUAAAAUUGAUCCAUUACUACUUAAAUUGAUGAAAUUAAAGUUAAAUCUUGUGAAUAAAGAUUUAGGCAUUAGAGAAUUCAUUUCAAGCAAAACAAAAUAUUUAAAAAUACUAUUAAAGAAAUUCCCAGCAGGAAUAAAAAUAAAUUAUGUAUGGCUACAUGUUUUAACAAUUCUACAAAUUGCAGAACAAUUUUAGACUUAACAGAAAUCUACUGUAACCAGCCGAAAAAUAUGGAAAAACAGAAAGCAACAUAUAGCUCAUAUGUACACAAAAAUACUUAAAAAUGUCUAACUGGAGUGGCUCCGAAUGGAGUAGUUACUUAUGCUAGCAAAUUAUAUCCAGGUUCAGUACCUGGUAAAAAAAAAUUAAAGCAUUGUGGUGUGUUAGAGCAGAUGGUACCAGGUGACUUAAUAAUUGCUGAUAAAUGAUUUUUAAUUUCUGAUUUGCUUCCUCCAGGUGUAUGUUUAAAUAUACCACCUUUUUUAACAACUGCUCAAUUUACACCACAACAGGUAAUUCAAACCAAAACAAUUGCUAAAGCAAGAAUACAUGUAGAAAGUACUAUAAGGUGCAUUAAAAGCUAUAAAAUUUUAAGUCUUGUACCUGCUAGUCUAGUACCACAUUCUUCAUUUGUAUUCCAAGCUGUGCAGCAUUAACAAAUUUUCAAUAUCCUCUAAUUCGGGAAGUCCAAGAUUUAUAUAAGAAAGAAGAUAACUGAUAUUUUCUAGUAAUCAAUUCUACGUUGCACAUAAUCACGGAAAGGGUAGUCUCACAAAUAUCGUUUUAAGAGUUUCAUAUAGCCAAAUUAAUAUAAAUCAAAAAUAUGUAAAUUACCUUGCUUGUAAAUUUAAAAAACUAAAAUCCUCACUAUUUUACAUGGAAAACAGUUAUGUUGUAUUGAGCCUCCCUGUGCAUGGCUCUAACAUUUGAUUUAGUGUUCCUUAGUUGAAUAAUUCACUUCAUUUGAAAAUUGCAUAAGAUAUUGUCAUACUUAGUUGGUUUUGUACUUUUUUAAACUUUCACUUUAUAAAGAACCACUGAAAGCUGUAUCAACUGCGAGAGAUCUAUGUGUUCAAUUAGAUUCUACACUAAAUUUUUAUGCACAUUGUGAUGAUGUGAAUAACCAGGCAUUUCAAAUGUUAGGCUUCAUUAUCAGAACUUCUAGAUGUUUGCACAACAUUAAUUCCAUUAGACUGAUUUACAUUUCCCUAGUUAGAUCUGUUUUUGAGUAUUGCUCAGUUUGGUCACCCACUUAUGAAGUCCAAAUUGUCAAGCUUGAAAAAGUUCAAAAUAACUUCAUUAGGUAUUGAAGUUUUGAACUGCACAAACCGUUAAGCGAUUAUUAAGUACCUUUACCUUACUGUUAAACCUUUAAGUAAUUACUCCGUAAUUGGAAACACAUUAAACCUACCUAAGUUAUCUUCCAGACAGAUUUACGCUGAUAUUUUGUUUCUACAUAAACUACUGAAUUCCAGAAUAAAUUGCAAUGAUCUGCUGUUGUAUCUAAUUGAUUUUAAUGUUCCCUCUAGAGUCAUUAGAUUAUCUCAAAAUUUUGUAAUUAAAUUUCAUAGCUGCUAUUUUGGUAGGCAUUCUCUAUUGAAUGGAAUGAUUCUAAAUGGAAAUACUUUGAUUUGUUACUGUGCACUUCUGAUGAUGUUUGUAGACAACAUAUAAAAAAACUUUUAUAACUUAGGUGAUUUCUGUUUGUUAUGUAUUUUAUCUUAUUUUAAUAUUUGUUUUAUUCUAUAGGGCUGCUUGGCUGACUUUUGUCGUAUUUACUCCAUUUUUAUAUUUAAUGUAUCACUUGAUAUAUUUGUAAUAUGUUAUGUAUAUUACUAGGAGGUUCUCUAAAUUUAUUUAUAUUUUUAUUUUAUUUAUUUAUUUACGGGGUACCACCCAAUAUAUUAUAUAAUUGAGUGGUACCCCGUAAAUAAAUAAAAUAAAAAUAUAAAUUUAGAGAAUAUUCUAGUAAAUACAUACAGAUAUUAGCAGUAUAUAUGAGUGUUUCAAUAUAUGAGACUCUGUGUGCAACAAGGGCGCACUCGCCAUUGGAGUUCACCCUUAUUGCACGAAAAUCCUCAUAUUGUAAUUAUUUUUAUAAGACAAUGUUUAACUUAGUUGAUGUUAUCUUAUUUUAAUAUUCUUGAAAUAAAUAUUGUCAAAUUAAUGAGUGAAUGAAUUAAUUCAAUGAGCUAGCUAAUUAGUUUCGAGUAACAUUUUACUGUGAAACAUAAAUGAGAUAAAAAAAUAUCAAAUUUAAAAAACUAAAAAAUAUUUUGUUUUUUUUAUUACCACAGGACAAGCCCAAUACAGUUACAAUUUUUUACAAAUUUUGGGAUACUAAUAAAUAUGAAAAAAAUCAUAUAUGUAACACAUAAAAUAUAAUAGUUAAAAGAAAUAAAUUACAUAUAGAACAAAUUAGAAACAGACUGGUAAUGGUGGACAAAACAAAACAAUUAAGAGGCAAUAUUAAUUUGUUGCAAGUCGCGUAUAAAUUGGUUAGGUGUGGAACUAAAAUUAAUUAAGCCUCUCAGUAUUUUGAUUUGCUAGACGUAACAUUCUAGUUAUAGGUUCAUUGAGACCAUAAUUACAUCGAUGAAAUGGUACAUGAAAAGUGUUUUCAACUGCAUUUCGAGUACUGUAUGAAGGGACUUUAAAAUCAAGCUUAGACAAUAAAUAAUUACUAUUUGCUGUACUAUUUAAUAAAGUACACAGAAUUUUCAAAUAAUGGUGAUAACGACGUUCUUCCAGGGUAUUGAUAUUUAUAUAUUAUGCUCUAAUUUCUUCAUAACUGCAAAACCUGUUACUCCCAUUAAUAACUCUAAUUUUAAAUCCCAAAAACCCAAGGAAUUUAUUUUGAACUUCUUCAAUUUUUUCUGCGUAAACAUUAUAGUUAUAUUAUAAAUGAAAAUUCUCAAUAUUUUACACAACAAAUAGUUAUGUUGUAUUGCGGCUCACCUGUCUACAACAUUUGGUGUAUUGUUCCUUAAUUUCAAUCAAGUAAUUUACUGAUUCACUUUUGUUAUGUCACAAUACCAUAGUUGGUUUUGUACUUUGUUAUACUUUUACGUUGUAAAAUUAGGUACAGUGCACAGAUUCUAAAGGUGCUGGUGUCUAUGCGCAGUAUUAUAGUCGGUGUUGAGAGAGAAAAGUAUUUGAAAUAAUGAAAUAAAAUAUUAUUUCGAAUACUUUCUCAUACAGCGACUAUAAUAAUAUGCAUAUACUCUAUCUCUCAACGGCUCCUUUAGAAUCUGUGCACUGCAUUAGCAAUUAAUUAUAUAUAAUUUGUAAGUGUUUGAAUAUAUUGUAAUUAAUUUUGUAACACAAUUUAUUAAUGUUACAAUAUAGUUAUUACUGAAAUAAAAAUAUUGUUGAAAAAAAGUGAAUGAACUAAUUCAAUGAUCGAUCUAGUUAACUAGCUUUAUGUAACAUUUGAAAAUUAAAACUCUUUCUAUGCAUGUAAUCUGGUAAAUAAAGACAAUAAUGUUCUCUUUUUGCUAUUUGCAAUAUGUAUAGAUAUACAAAAUAAACAGAAAAAUAUUGUU